GUAUAAUGGGUCAGCGACUUAUAUUCUGUAGCAAGGUUAACCGAAUAGGGGAGCCGAAGGGAAACCGAGUCUUAACUGGGCGUUAAGUUGCAGGGUAUAGACCCGAAACCCGGUGAUCUAGCCAUGGGCAGGUUGAAGGUUGGGUAACACUAACUGGAGGACCGAACCGACUAAUGUUGAAAAAUUAGCGGAUGACUUGUGGCUGGGGGGGAAAGGCCAAUCAAACCGGGAGAUAGCUGGUUCUCCCCGAAAGCUAUUUAGGUAGCGCCUCGUGAAUUCAUCUCCGGGGGUAGAGCACUGUUUCGGCAAGGGGGUCAUCCCGACUUACCAACCCGAUGCAAACUGCGAAUACCGGAGAAUGUUAUCACGGGAGACACACGGCGGGUGCUAACGUCCGUCGUGAAGAGGGAAACAACCCAGACCGCCAGCUAAGGUCCCAAAGUCAUGGUUAAGUGGGAAACGAUGUGGGAAGGCCCAGACAGCCAGGAUGUUGGCUUAGAAGCAGCCAUCAUUUAAAGAAAGCGUAAUAGCUCACUGGUCGAGUCGGCCUGCGCGGAAGAUGUAACGGGGCUAAACCAUGCACCGAAGCUGCGGCAGCGACGCUUAUGCGUUGUUGGGUAGGGGAGCGUUCUGUAAGCCUGUGAAGGUGUGCUGUGAGGCAUGCUGGAGGUAUCAGAAGUGCGAAUGCUGACAUAAGUAACGAUAAAGCGGGUGAAAAGCCCGCUCGCCGGAAGACCAAGGGUUCCUGUCCAACGUUAAUCGGGGCAGGGUGAGUCGACCCCUAAGGCGAGGCCGAAAGGCGUAGUCGAUGGGAAACAGGUUAAUAUUCCUGUACUUGGUGUUACUGCGAAGGGGGGACGGAGAAGGCUAUGUUGGCCGGGCGACGGUUGUCCCGGUUUAAGCGUGUAGGCUGGUUUUCCAGGCAAAUCCGGAAAAUCAAGGCUGAGGCGUGAUGACGAGGCACUACGGUGCUGAAGCAACAAAUGCCCUGCUUCCAGGAAAAGCCUCUAAGCAUCAGGUAACAUCAAAUCGUACCCCAAACCGACACAGGUGGUCAGGUAGAGAAUACCAAGGCGCUUGAGAGAACUCGGGUGAAGGAACUAGGCAAAAUGGUGCCGUAACUUCGGGAGAAGGCACGCUGAUAUGUAGGUGAAGUCCCUCGCGGAUGGAGCUGAAAUCAGUCGAAGAUACCAGCUGGCUGCAACUGUUUAUUAAAAACACAGCACUGUGCAAACACGAAAGUGGACGUAUACGGUGUGACGCCUGCCCGGUGCCGGAAGGUUAAUUGAUGGGGUCAGCGCAAGCGAAGCUCUUGAUCGAAGCCCCGGUAAACGGCGGCCGUAACUAUAACGGUCCUAAGGUAGCGAAAUUCCUUGUCGGGUAAGUUCCGACCUGCACGAAUGGCGUAAUGAUGGCCAGGCUGUCUCCACCCGAGACUCAGUGAAAUUGAACUCGCUGUGAAGAUGCAGUGUACCCGCGGCAAGACGGAAAGACCCCGUGAACCUUUACUAUAGCUUGACACUGAACAUUGAGCCUUGAUGUGUAGGAUAGGUGGGAGGCUUAGAAGUGUGGACGCCAGUCUGCAUGGAGCCGACCUUGAAAUACCACCCUUUAAUGUUUGAUGUUCUAACGUUGACCCGUAAUCCGGGUUGCGGACAGUGUCUGGUGGGUAGUUUGACUGGGGCGGUCUCCUCCUAAAGAGUAACGGAGGAGCACGAAGGUUGGCUAAUCCUGGUCGGACAUCAGGAGGUUAGUGCAAUGGCAUAAGCCAGCUUGACUGCGAGCGUGACGGCGCGAGCAGGUGCGAAAGCAGGUCAUAGUGAUCCGGUGGUUCUGAAUGGAAGGGCCAUCGCUCAACGGAUAAAAGGUACUCCGGGGAUAACAGGCUGAUACCGCCCAAGAGUUCAUAUCGACGGCGGUGUUUGGCACCUCGAUGUCGGCUCAUCACAUCCUGGGGCUGAAGUAGGUCCCAAGGGUAUGGCUGUUCGCCAUUUAAAGUGGUACGCGAGCUGGGUUUAGAACGUCGUGAGACAGUUCGGUCCCUAUCUGCCGUGGGCGCUGGAGAACUGAGGGGGGCUGCUCCUAGUACGAGAGGACCGGAGUGGACGCAUCACUGGUGUUCGGGUUGUCAUGCCAAUGGCACUGCCCGGUAGCUAAAUGCGGAAGAGAUAAGUGCUGAAAGCAUCUAAGCACGAAACUUGCCCCGAGAUGAGUUCUCCCUGACUCCUUGAGAGUCCUGAAGGAACGUUGAAGACGACGACGUUGAUAGGCCGGGUGUGUAAGCGCAGCGAUGCGUUGAGCUAACCGGUACUAAUGAACCGUGAGGCUUAACCU
rnacentral:rRNA from 1 species